rnacentral:rRNA from 1 species
CGGACGGGUGAGGAAUGCGUCGGAAUCUGCCUCUUUGUGGGGGAUAACGUAGGGAAACUUACGCUAAUACCGCAUACGACCUACGGGUGAAAGUGGGGGACCGCAAGGCCUCACGCAGAGAGAUGAGCCGACGCCGGAUUAGCUAGUUGGCGGGGUAAAGGCCCACCAAGGCGACGAUCCGUAGCUGGUCUGAGAGGAUGAUCAGCCACACUGGAACUGAGACACGGUCCAGACUCCUACGGGAGGCAGCAGUGGGGAAUAUUGGACAAUGGGCGCAAGCCUGAUCCAGCCAUGCCGCGUGAGUGAAGAAGGCCUUCGGGUUGUAAAGCUCUUUUGUUGGGGAAGAAAAGCAUCCGGCUAAUAUCCGGGUGUUCUGACGGUGCCCAAAGAAUAAGCACCGGCUAACUUCGUGCCAGCAGCCGCGGUAAUACGAAGGGUGCAAGCGUUACUCGGAAUUACUGGGCGUAAAGCGUGCGUAGGUGGUUCGUUAAGUCUGAUGUGAAAGCCCUGGG